rnacentral:lncRNA from 10 species
UUUUACUCUCUCACCAGAUGUGGUCCAUCUCUUCACACUGCAAUGGGCCUCAUGUGAUUAAGUCAGUUUCUUAAACACCUCUUGGUCCAUCAAAAAACUAUAUUUUAAAAAUUGCUUUCCAAAGGAGACCACGUCUGCAGAAAACUUUUGGAUGCAACACAGCUGGUUCGCUUCAGGGGACACAUUCUCAGAAAUGGCCGGAUGAUUUCUGUGUGGGCUGGUUCCAGGAGAGCCCUAGUGAGGUGCUCCCUAGAUCAUCAACAUUAACAAGCUCCCUUUGCAGUUUCUGGAGUUACAAAUGCAUUUCAACAAUGAUCAAGUCAUGCUGCAACAGGCACAGAGAACAAAUAACUGCAAGAAGAAAUUGCUGAACUUGGGUCUGAAAUCCCAGCAUUAACAAAAAAGGUGAGAUCAAUAAUGUUCAAAUGGGCGAGCUGAUGACAAAUUUGAGAUAACUCCAUUGUGGAUUUCAUACCUGCUGUUUUAUCCUCAUUCUUCACAGAACACAUGACAAGUUGGUAUUAUGAAAAUCAUUAUAAAACAAUUACUUGCCAUUUCUAAUUAUGUAAUAUUUGGAAAAUGUCCAGAUGUAAAUGUGUCAUGCUUCUUUUUUUAACUUUUGGGCUGUAAAAUAAUUAAGAAAGAUGAAAUUGAAUUAAUGUAAUAAAACACUAUUUGACAUAAAAUAAAUUUUGUAACUGAUCCAACAAGUUGUAGAUAGAACUCCUUAAACUCCAAGUAGCAUUGAACUUUCAGAUGCCAUUGAAAAUACGUUGCUGCUUUUUAAUGACUUCAGGAGAUUGAACAACUUAACUUUCUUUCGAAUAUUAUACUGAUUCCCCCCAAACCAAACGCAAUAUGCUUUUCUCAGUGACAAAAGCCAAGUUUCU